GGCAACUUGGCCGAGCGGUCUAAGGCGCCAGACUCAAGAGACGAAGUUCCACUUUCUGAUCUUCCCCGUAGCGGGGGUGUAUUCUGGUCUCGAAAGAGGCGUGAGUUCGAAUCUCACAGUUGUCA